rnacentral:rRNA from 1 species
GAUGAACGCUAGCGGCAGGCUUAAUACAUGCAAGUCGAGGGGUAGCAAGAUUGUAGCAAUACAAUUGUUGACGACCGGCAAACGGGUGCGGAACACGUACACAACCUUCCUACAAGUGGGGAGUAGCCCAGAGAAAUUUGGAUUAAUACCCCGUAACAUAGCGAUGUGGCAUCACAUUGCUAUUAUAGCUCCGGCGCGUGUGGAUGGGUGUGCGGCUGAUUAGAUAGUUGGCGGGGUAACGGCCCACCAAGUCUACGAUCAGUAGCUGAUGUGAGAGCAUGAUCAGCCACACGGGCACUGAGACACGGGCCCGACUCCUACGGGAGGCAGCAGUAAGGAAUAUUGGACAAUGGACGCAAGUCUGAUCCAGCCAUGCCGCGUGAAGGAUUAAGGUCCUCUGGAUUGUAAACUUCUUUUAUAAGGGACGAAAAAAGGUCUUUCUAGAUCGUCUGACGGUACCUUAUGAAUAAGCACCGGCUAACUCCGUGCCAGCCGCCGCUGUAAGAC